GCCAGCAUGGCCACUGGAUUGGGCUGAUGGGAGUUGCAGCUAGAGCAAGGAUCUGUAAAAAACAGUCGCGUGGGGGGGGGCAGUUGACGUUUUGGUGUAUAUCCCUACCUGAGAGUAAGUCCUACUGCACUCAAUGGGACUUACUUCUGAGUAGGAGCACGAGGGAAGAGCAAGCUCAGCAGAAGGCCAGUGUGAGUCACAUGUCAGUUGCCCACCAAUCAGGAGCAGACUUCCCCUGCUUCCUCCAAGUAACUGGAAGGGGAGGGGGAGGAGGAGUGAAACCAAAGAACUGCUCUUCUAGGCAUGCCAGAGAGAGAAAGCAAGCAAGCAAGCGACAGUGAACAUACUAAGCUGCAGAAGCUGCUGGGUGAGGCACUACAGGUUGAUCUGAGCCAUGUGCAACUCCAGAGUAUUUCCAGAAAAGGAGUAUGGAUUUGCUUUCUACAAGCCUUUGCCGUGCUUAAGUUCAGAAUAUCUUGAAGACUAGCUGCUGCUAUUAUUCCUCGCUUGCUUUUUUGUGAGUUUGUCAGUGAAUUUAUAAAAUGAAAAGUCUGGGCUCUAAGCCUGUAUGGAUAUCACAUUUACUGACUCCAUAUCCUUCCCCAAACCUGGAAGAUAUUCUCCCUCAUCUCAGACAUAAGAGACUGACUGUGAUUACUCUGGAGUGAUGUACUCUGCACAUUAGCAGAGAUUAUUACUUCAUACUUUCAGGGCUGAGCCAGACAUUGCAUAUGUGUUCUGCUGUGCUGUGGGUCAAACAAAAUAAUUUUUGUGUCUAUUGGUUGGAACAUUGGUUGGAUUCUCUCCCAUGUUAUAACAAUCAGAGGAUAUAUGUGGUAAUCUAUGACUACUGAAAAAGUGAAGGAAUUUCAGCUAAAAUAGUAUUUGCAGCAGCAUAGUGCAAGUUUUCAGAACAAUUGUGCACUUUUUCAUAAAAGCAUCUCUGGGCUCUGCGAGGGGGAAUGCUCCAAGCUAUCCAAGUUCAUGCUCCAGCAAUUAAGACUUGAAACAAUCUUGUUCAGCCCAUAUGUUUGUUAAAUUAACUAAUAUCACUUUGUAACAUCUGUCCAAAUUUCUACUUAGAUUCUAUGAACAUGCAUAUUAUUACAUGCAAAUGAGGCCUCAGGCUAUGGUCUGAAGGCACACGAGGCCAGCCCCCUGCUGAAGCUAAGCAGGGUCAGGUCUGGUCAGUGCUAGGAGACUGCCUGGGAACCAUAUGUAAGCCGCCUUGGGUUUCUAGCAUGAAAAGAAAGGCGGGGUAUAAAUGUAAUAAAUAAAUAAUAAUGAAUAAUAAUAAAUAAAUGACAUGUACAUAUUAUGUCAAAUGUUUGUGCAUGUGCAUAUGGGUAUUAUGUCAUAAAGGUAUUUCAAAUUAAAUUGUGUGGUUUUUCAAAGCUAUCCUGGUG